rnacentral:misc_RNA from 1 species
GCGGGGAUGGGAUAGUCGAGUGGGAGGUCGAGGAGGGCUGUGAGUGAAAGGAUGUUGCACGCCGCUCCGUGAAGGCGUGGUAUGCUCGUUGACGGACCAGAGGAGGGAGAUCA